rnacentral:rRNA from 1 species
GACGAACGCUGGCGGCGUGCUUAACACAUGCAAGUCGAACGGAAAGGCCCUUCGGGGUACUCGAGUGGCGAACGGGUGAGUAACAUGUGGGUGAUCUGCCCUGCACUUUGGGAUAAGCCUGGGAAACUGGGUCUAAUACCGAAUAUGAUCAUCGGCUUCAUGGUCGGUGGUGGAAAGCUUUUGCGGUGUGGGAUGGGCCCGCGGCCUAUCAGCUUGUUGGUGGGGUAAUGGCCUACCAAGGCGACGACGGGUAGCCGGCCUGAGAGGGUGACCGGCCACACUGGGACUGAGAUACGGCCCAGACUCCUACGGGAGGCAGCAGUGGGGAAUAUUGCACAAUGGGCGCAAGCCUGAUGCAGCGACGCCGCGUGAGGGAUGACGGCCUUCGGGUUGUAAACCUCUUUCAGCACAGACGAAGCGCAAGUGACGGUAUGUGCAGAAGAAGGACCGGCCAACUACGUG